UUCAGACUCACUACGGUGUUAGACUAGAUUUGGGUGGCUGAAGACAGAUGAAUAAAAGUUUGAGACAAAGGGCAACUGGAACUGGAACUUUUGUCUUCAUUGGAAAGAAUUGCAGUUAGGACAAAACCUGAUACCUCCUGUUCAGGCAUCGUCCCAGAAAGCGACUCUUCUGACUUCAGCCAAACCU